CAUACCUAUUCGAAGGGAUAGGGUCGGUUUGGCCGGAUUUCACACAGGUGUUGCAUGGCUGUCGUCAGCUCGUGUCGUGAGAUGUUGGGUUAAGUCCCGCAACGAGCGCAACCCUCAUCCUUAGUUACCAUCAGGUUAUGCUGGGGACUUUAAGGAAACUGCCAGUGAUAAACUGGAGGAAGGUGGGGAUGAUGUCAAGUCAUCAUGGCCCUUAUGGAGUGGGCUACACACGUGCUACAAUGGUGAUUACAAUGGGCUGCAAGGUCGCAAGGCUGAGCUAAUCCUAAAAAAUCAUCUCAGUUCGGAUUGUUCUCUGCAACUCGAGAGCAUGAAGUUGGAGUCGCUAGUAAUCGUGGAUCAGCAUGCCACGGUGAAUACGUUCUCGGGUCUUGUACACACUGCCCGUCACGCCAUGGGAAUUGGUUUCACUCGAAGCU
rnacentral:rRNA from 1 species